GACGAACGCUGGCGGCGUGCCUAAUACAUGCAAGUAGGACGCAGUUGCGAACGGGUGAGUAACGCGUAGGUAACUGCCUAUUAGAGGGGGAUAACUAUUGGAAACGAUAGCUAAUACCGCAUACUAGUAUAUGGACCUGCGUUGUAUUAGCUAGUAGGUAGGGUAAUGGCCUACCUACGCGACGAUGCAUAGCCGACCUGAGAGUGUGAGCGGCCACACUGGGACUGAGACACGGCCCAGACUCCUACGGGAGGCAGCAGUAGGGAAUCUUCGGCAAUGGACGAAAGUCUGACCGAGCAACGCCGCGUGAGUGAAGAAGGUUUUCGGAUCGUAAAGCUCUGUUGUUAAGGAAGCGGGACUAAAGGAGAAAGGGACGGCUAACUACGUGCCAGCCGCCGCGGUAAUAG
rnacentral:rRNA from 1 species